UACGGGGGGGGUAAGCGUUGUCCGGAAUUACUGGGCGUAAAGGGCUCGUAGGCGGCCAACUAAGUCAGACGUGAAAUCCCCAGGCUCAACCUGGGAACUGCGUCUGAUACUGGAUGGCUUGAAUCCGGGAGAGGGAUGCGGAAUUCCAGGUGUAGCGGUGAAAUGCGUAGAUAUCUGGAGGAACACCGGUGGCGAAGGCGGCAUCCUGGACCGGCAUUGACGCUGAGGCGCGAAAGCCAGGGGAGCAAACGGG
rnacentral:rRNA from 1 species